CCAAGGAUUUUCCUUUUUGUGAUGAGAAAGAUAAAAUACUUCAAAGUCAAGAGGAAGAUUUGUAAAGUUAGUCUUCCUGGAAAUGCAUGUCCAGGGAUCUGUGGAAUUGUUCCAGGAGUAGCUCAGCUGGCUCUGGCUGGUGCAGACCCCGCACAGUUUGACGUAGGGGGCAGAGGGAGAAAUGAGACAGAAUUGCUCUGCUAACCCAGCAGUUAUUCACCUGUUACGUGGAACUUCCCAUCAUGUAGGUGUGGGAAAUUAUGUUGUCAUGUACCCCUCUCUUUAUUUUCAUCACCAACUUCAUGUCAGCUUCAGCUUUAGUCUUCAUCAGUAAUUUGUGUUUGAAAUCAUUCCCACUAAAGUCUUCAGGAGCGUUCCUCUCGACACCGGAAAUCCUGCCUCAUCUGGUUUGUGUCAGUCAAACUAUUGCUGAAGAAAAUCAUGGCUUUAACUACCAGAGAAAUUGACUUUAUAAUUUACUCCAAUGAAAUCUGAAAG